AAGAAUAAAGUCAACCUUUUUUGAGACUGCCCUUUAUUUGUUCUCUACUGUCUUCUACAGCCCUGAGUCUUCACUUGCUCUUUGCUCAUGGUGCAGCGUCAGCCAGGAAUUCACUAGACAAGUCAGCAGAGUCACCAGAUGCCAGACAUGCAGUAAGGAGCAGAGGUUUGAGUAAGACUGCAUCUCUGCUCUUGGGAAGGCAUGGGAGAAAUACAUCAACAUGCGGUGGCACAGCCCGGUUCACAUCCCACAACAAAAUGGAAAGCCCUCUGCCGUCUUUUAUACUCAUUCUAAAACCUAAGUCCUACUACUCUUCCGUGUGGCUUCUCCAGCCUUUCAGCCCCUGUGGUGUUUACUCACUGACUGAACGACCUCCGCAGCCUCUGGACUUCUGUAGUGUCCAGUCACACUGUACACAGCCUAAGACAGUGUCUGGAAGACACUGUGCUCACUCAGCACUUGGAAUGAUUCUCAGAUGAAGAAACUGGGGCUGAGAGAAGCUACUUUACUUCACAGCCUCUAAGGAUCUAGUGAUAUAUGGAUGAAGAAAGGACACACACAAAGCCUUACCAGACACAUGGCUGUAAGAUCUGAAAAUGUUUUGGUUUAAGAAUAAAAAUGGCUAAUAAUCUAUAUUCAUAUAAACAUAUUUAAUGUGAACACAAAAAGUCUGGGAUACAUUUCCUCUGAUGUGUCUGAUUUAUAUUACUAAGAGCUCAAAUUUGGAUGAGAAGGCAAAACGACAAAUGACAGACAAUGAAGCAGUCUACAGUGUGGUGUGAUGGGGAUGGUUUGGGUCUCUACUGCUAUCUGCUCUCCUUUCGUCUGUAAAAUGAGGAUACUAACAGAGGCGGGCUUAUUGUGAGCAUUAAACAGGUUAAUAAUUGCAUAUAAAAUUCUGUGCCUAGUACAGGCAGUGAACAAUAAAUGUUAGCAAUUAUUCC